rnacentral:rRNA from 1 species
CACGCCGAAAGGUGUGCUAAUACCGGAUACGAAGGCGGCAUCGCAUGGUGCUGUUUUGAAAGAUGGCCUCUAUGUAUAAGCUAUCGCCGGGGGAUGGGCCUGCGUCCGAUUAGCUGGUUGGUGGGGUAACGGCCCACCAAGGCGACGAUCGGUAGCCGGUCUGAGAGGAUGAACGGCCACAUUGGGACUGAGACACGGCCCAGACUCCUACGGGAGGCAGCAGUGGGGAAUCUUCCGCAAUGGGCGCAAGCCUGACGGAGCAACGCCCGCGUGAGUGAGGAAGUUUUUCGGAACGUAAAGCUCUGUUGUACCCGACGAACGUGCCCUCUAUGAACAACGGAGGGUAAUGACGGUAGGGUACGAGGAAGCCACGGCUAACUACGUGCCAGCCGCGGC